rnacentral:rRNA from 1 species
CGUGAAAGUUCGUCGGGAAAUCCAUCCGCUCAACGGAUGGGCGUCCGGCGAAAACUUCACGGCUUGGGACCGGAAGGCUCGAGGGGUACGUCCGGGGUAGGAGUGAAAUCCUGUAAUCCUGGACGGACCGCCGAUGGCGAAAGCACCUCGAGAAGACGGAUCCGACAGUGAGGGACGAAAGCUAGGGUCUCGAACCGGAUUAGAUACCCGGGUAGUCCUAGCCGUAAACGAUGUUCACUAGGUGUGGCACAGGCUACGAGCCUGUGCUGUGCCGUAGGGAAGCCGAGAAGUGAACCGCCUGGGAAGUACGUCCGCAAGGAUGAAACUUAAAGGAAUUGGCGGGGGAGCACUACAACCGGAGGAGCCUGCGGUUUAAUUGGACUCAACGCCGGACAUCUCACCAGCUCCGACUACAGUAAUGACGGCCAGGUUGAUGACCUUGCCACGAGCUGUAGAGAGGAGGUGCAUGGCCGCCGUCAGCUCGUACCGUGAGGCGUCCUGUUAAGUCAGGCAACGAGCGAGACCCACGCACCUAAUUGCCAGCAGCAGUUCCGACUGGCUGGGUACAUUAGGUGGACUGCCAGUGCCAAACUGGAGGAAGGAAUGGGCAACGGUAGGUCAGUAUGCCCCGAAUGAGCUGGGCUACACGCGGGCUACAAUGGCCGAAACAAUGGGUUGCUAUCUCGAAAGAGAACGCUAAUCUCCGAAAUUCGGUCGUAGUUCGGAUUGAGGGCUGAAACUCGCCCUCAUGAAGCUGGAUUCGGUAGUAAUCGCAUUUCAGAAGAGUGCGGUGAAUACGU